UCAAAUUUUCAAUCUUAUAAACAUGCAUUGGAAGGGACCUGUAUGUCUUAAAAUGCAAGAUUCUUUAUCAAAAAUAUCUGGAUGUUUUUGCAAUCAAAGCGGUAAUGAAAAACAAAAACAAAAAUUAUUUGACUGAAUAUGCCUUUUAUUGAUUUGAAAAGUGUGGCUCAAACCGAGCAAUACAAAGGAAGCAAUUCCUGAAAAGAGGUAAUUGCGCACAAAAGGAAAAAUCUAUCCUAAUGGCAAUGUGAAACCCGUGAUCUCAUCGAGUUCCAACUCAGUUACACCCCAUAUGUCCUCAGACUCUCCGUGCUUUCUGCCUUCUGAACAAGAUGUUUC
rnacentral:lncRNA from 1 species